rnacentral:rRNA from 1 species
CAGAAACUUAAAGGAAGUUACGACGGGGCCCGGCACAAGCGGUGGAGUAUGUGGUUUAAUUCGAUGCAACGCGAAGAACCUUACCUGGUCUUGACAUCCCGGAGACCCUUAGGAAACUAGGGGGUGGCUUCCAUCUGGAAGAAUCUGGAGACAGGUGCUGCAUGGCUGUCGUCAGCUCGUGUCGUGAGAUGUUGGGUUAAGUCCCGCAACGAGCGCAACCCUUGCCUUUAGUUGCCAGCAGUUCGGCUGGGCACUCUAAAGGGACUGCCGGUGUUAAACCGGAGGAAGGUGGGGAUGACGUCAAGUCCUCAUGGCCUUUAUGACCAGGGCUACACACGUACUACAAUGGCCGAUACAAAGGGCAGCGACACUGCGAGGUGAAGCCAAUCCCGUAAAAUCGGUCUCAGUCCGGAUUGGAGUCUGCAACUCGACUCCAUGAAGUUGGAAUCGCUAGUAAUCGUGGAUCAGCAUGCCACGGUGAAUACGUUCCCGGGCCUU